CUUCAUCUUCAGGCCAGUAGCAAGACGUUUGCCACAGUUCUAGGCAGUACAUCCGGACACUGCCAAGUCAGAGGGAAAGGGAGUUAUUCCUUCUGUAUUCUCUCUCAAGUGAGAAGACAUUCGCAGAAGCAGCCCCUCCAUACACUCACCACCAGAAUUCCCUUACAUUUCAUUGGCCAGAAUGAGUUCACAUGUCCAUCGCUCAGCCAAUCACAGGUAAAGGGAGCGACACCGCUGGUAUCGGUUAUUGGACCACUUCUCACACCCGGAUGUAGAGUCAGCUUCCCCAGAGGCACGUGACUGUGCUGAAACUAGUGCAGACCGCUGAUCAGAAUCCAGAUUCCACUUGGAAAGAACUAGGAAGCAACAGGCAACCAGCAGAAUUCACUCUCCUUCGCUUUUGCUUCUGUGUUCCUUUAACAGCUGCCUGGGUCCUUUCAGGCUGCUGUAAUAGAAUACCUCAGAGGAGGUGGUUUAUAAACAACUGAGCUUUAUGAGUUGUUUAUAAACCACAGUUCUGGAAGCUGAGAAGUCCAAAAUCAAGGUGCUAGCAGAUUCUAUGUCUAGGGAGGGCCCACUUCCUGAUUCACAAAUAAUCGUCUUCUGCCUGUGUCCAGACAUUGUGAGAAAGGCUAGGGGGCUCUCUGGUGUCUCUGUGAUAAGGACAUUGAUCCUAUUCAUAAGGGCUCCACCUUCAUGACCUCAUAAAUAUCUCCCAAAGGCUCCACAUAUUGAUACCAUCAUACUGAGAGUUAGGAUUGCAACAUAUGAAGCUGGGGGAAGGGCAUCAAGGACAUUCAAUCUACUGCAUUCUGCUCUUGGACCCCCAAAAUUCAUGUUUUUCCUCAGAGCCCAAAUACAUACAUUCCAUCCCAACAAUCCCCAAAGUCUUAACUCCUUUCGGCAUCAACCCAAAAGUCUAAAGUCCAAAGUUCCAUCUAAAUAUCAUCUAAAUCACAUGCAGGUGAAACUCAAGGAAUGAUUCACUGAGGCAAAUUCCCCUCCAGCUGUGAACCCAUGAAACCAGGUUGGGUGCUUCCAAAACACAACAGUGAGUGGGAAAGGCAUGAUGUAGACAUUCCAAUUCCAAAAGAAGAAAUAGGAAAGAAGAAAGUAGCAUCCAGUCCCAAAAGUCCAGAACUUCAUGGAGAACUAUUACACGUUAAGGCUGAAAUAACACUACACCUGUUUGGCUCAAGGCUCUGUUGUCCAGGCACACUAGGAUGGCAAUACCACACCCCCCCCGGCCCCCCAGAGGCUGAGCAGGAUGGUCCUGCAGCAGCUCUGUGACUGGGCCCUGCUCUCACAGCUCUACAGCAAUUGUCUCAUCUUCCACAAUCUCAAGAGCACAUACUAAGCCACACCUGCGGGAUAUUGAAAUUCCUGGACUAGGAGUCCACAGCCAUGGCAACACUGGAUUACAGCCACAUCUGCAAUCUAAGCCACAGCUUAUGGCAACACCCAGAUACUUAACCCAAUGAGCAAGGCUAGGGAUCAAACCCACACCCUCAUAGAGACUUAAUCCGCUGAGCUACGAUGGGAACUCCUUGAUUUAUAACUACUAAUGACACCACAGAACAUUCCAUAUCAUAGGCUCUUGAAUAUGUGACUUCUUUAAACCUCCUGGAUGGCAAAGCUGAUGUGACUUUCCUCUCUCCUCCCUCUGCACCCUAUCCAAUGCUCAUGAAUGGAUGUGGAGAACACUCAACUCAGGGUCUGUGAUCAAGUGUUCUAGUCUAAGCUCAGUCGCACAGCCAUCAUAUAAACUGGGAAAGUCACUGGACCUCCCCAAAAUAAAAUUAGGCUCUCUGGAUCUGAUGUCUUUAGAUUCUGUACAGCUCUGUAUUUGUUUCCUAAGGCUGCUGCUGAAACAAAUUAGCCCAAAAGAAGUGAUUUAAAGCAGAAAUCUAUUGUCUCCCAAUUCCAGAGGGCAGAAGUUGAAAAUCAAAAUGUCAGCAGAUUUGGCCUUUUCUGGAAACUCUGCAGGAGAAUUUUCUCUAUGCCUCUCUCCUAAAUUUUGGUGGUUGCCAUCAACCCUUGGUGUUCCUUGGCUUGUAGCUGCAUCACUUCAAUCUUUGCCUCCAUCUUCACAUGGCCUUCUUCCCUCUGUAUGUCUCUAUGCCUCAAAACCACUAGUCCUUUCUGUUUUAAGGACAGCAGCCAGUGAAUUUAGGGCUCACCCUAAAUCCUUGACUUGACAUCUGCAAAGACUCUAUUUCCAAAUAAGGUCCCAUUCACAAGAUAGGACUUAAAUAUUUCUCUUAGGGGUGGGGACACGAUUCUACCCAUGAGCAGCUCUAACACUGUUGAAUUUUUAGUUAGUCAAGGACCACUAAGGCUGAAAUACUUCCUUCUUUUUUUAUUGCCUGCAGAUCCAUAUUGUGGAUCAUUCAAACACCCUUAACUGAAGAUUGAGAAUUUUUUUAAAUUUUUUUUCUUUUCACUUCUUAAAUCAGAGGCAGUGAGUCUGUCUCCAAAUUUCAGAUGCUGACCCUCAAUACUACUUCUGUGCUAUAGAUCAUUUGUUUUGGCUUCUGGUAUCAAUCCACAGCCUAGACUUUCCCCAAAAGGACCAUCUCAGAGGGCGUGUAUUAGUCCCAGAUGCCUUUUCACUUUCCAAUUCCUAAAAUCCCUGAAAAUGGAGGCAAGAACUCUUGGAAGAAUCAUAGGGAGGACGCUGUGUUAAUGGAGCCCCUAGCUUGUUCCAGAGAAGUGGAUCAGCCUCAAGGGGCUCCAGGAGACCAGUAGCACCACUGUAGCCAUGGGCAUCACACCAAGAGUCCCCACCACAUACAAGGUAAGCACCAUGCUUGCAAAGCAUCUGCAGUGGGGAAAGGUUCUGUUGCUUCUGUAUCAAGUUGCUCUGAGUGAUGCCAUUGAUGGAUGAGGUGGCUCAAAACAAAAGACAAUCAUUUUUCUUUCUUGACAAAUGUAUCUCUGUGGGCUUCAUGCCUGGCAAACAAAUCCUAUAGAACUGAACCCUCUGAGACGGAGCUCCACCCCACGAACAAGGCUGAGUUGUGUGCUGGGCUUACGUUAUGUCUAUUUUAAAAGUUGACUUUGGCAGGUGUGUGGGCCACUCACACAAUAUAUCUACUCCCAGAAAAGAUAAGGGAGGGGGAAAAAAUCAAACACUAAAUUUUCUUUAAGUUCUCACUUGGAAGCAAACAGCUUGGCUUUAAAAAGGGGAGUAUAAUCCUUGCUUCAAUGAUGAUGAACUAGUUGGAAGAAAUUAUAAAGAAAAUACUGGAGCUAUAAAUAACAUAUUUUUAAAGAACCUGUGUGCUUAAGUAUCUCCUGAGAGGCAAAUUCUAAAGAAUGUUAAUCUCCAGAUUAUAUUCUCUCUGAGGCCAUGUUUUUCCAGAACUCUUGGAACGUGUCUAAGUAAUGAAAUAAACUCAACAAUCUUUUAAAGAGUUCACUGUUAAAAGAUACUAGGGGAAAACAGAUGAGUGUGGACUCCCGGUUGUACCUUCGGGUGAAGGAAAAUGAGAACUCUAAAUCAUCCAAGAUGAAGAAGUCCCACAGCCAGACCUGUUCUGGUUCAAGUAAUCAGGAAUGUUUCAACCCAAUGCCAACUUUCUCCCUUUCAAUAAUGAAUGGAUAAAAAGGCUACUUCACCUUUUUAUGAAGGUGGUAUCUUCUGGUUGCCAUCUCUGUUCUACCUCCAAAAACACCUUAACCCUGCCAGAACCACCUAUCCCACACCUUAGAACAAAACAACAAAAGUAAAUUUUAUAAAAGUUUAUGGAACACAACCUUACAAAACCUGUUACUGAGGCUCCACAAUGUAUUUUUAAACUAAUAACGUGAAUUUUUCCAUGCUGAAGAAUCAUAUAAUUGGGUCACCAAAUAAAAAAAGACACAGCUGUAAUAGAAAACAUUUUGGAAAAGGAAAUUCAUACUUCAAAAGCCCUGACUAAUCAUAAAGUGAUGCAAAUUUGAAAGGAAAUACUUAGAUUGUAUUUCUACCCAGCUGAGCAGUCAGAUGUUUUGGAAAUGCCCUGGAUUUUUCUAAAUAUUUCCUCCUGUUAACAGCAAAACAGCUCAGAUGCUCCAGAAACAAAGGCCACACUUUCAGACCUUUAUUCUGCAUAUUUUUCUUCAUUACAGCUGCUCCGUUCCGGUUGCAAUAAGAGGCCUAAUUGUAAACGCUUUAAAGCUAAGAUGUUUACCCUGAGCUGCCACACAGAGUUAUUUUUAUGAAAAAUCCUAAGAAGUGCAAGUCUGGGAAUACGCAUAGAACUUCAAAUGAGAGGCUGGAAAAAGGAGGUGAUGAAGGACUUAGCACAUUUUCAGUUUGUUUCUCUUACAACCUGCAAGAGAACCCAGACCGUCGAUGGGCUCCAGGAGAAAACCCAAGAUGGCCGCUGUCCAGGGAGUUUGGCAAAACCCAGGGCAAGGAGAGGCCACGCUGAGCGUGGCUCCCCACCCGGAAGGUGGUAACAGCAGCAGCUGAGCUGCAUGGCUUGCGAGCCCAGAGGACAAAUUCUGGCAACUGCCUGAGCAGUGCCCUGUGGCCUUUUCUUCAAAAGUAAAAUGGAGCAUCUGGUCAACCACAGGUGAGGUGGCUAUAAACUGCCAACUCAGCCAACUCUAAUGAGGACCAGACUCCCAGAAGUAUUUGAGGAGUUGGUGCGGGCAGGAGUGAGAAGUCUGGUUGGCUCGCCUCAAACCACCACCGGCUACAGAGGCCUGCACAGCAAGCACAGAGGGAAGCAAUGUCCCCUGAUAAUCUGAGCAAAAGGCAGAAUGAGAGAUGCAAAUUCAAAACAGACUCUGGGGGGCUCGUGCCAGGUUUGUGCCUGGGUGACUGCCUGGCCCCUUCCCCAAAAUAGCACAGCAGAACCUGUGAGAAAUGUGCUCUGGCCCCUUUUAGACCCCGACCCUGAGGACAGGAGGGUGGGAACCAGAGCAUUUGCUCAAAAUCUUAUCACCACUUCCUGGCUUUUGUUGUCUGGCUGAGAGCCUGCCUCUAAGAAAUGGGGAGAAAAUAGCUCCCAGCAGUGAGACCUGGAGAGUUCUGCCCUGGGCAUCCUGGGACCCACUAGGCCAGCCCUGCGGGAAUGGCACAUUCGGGGGAGUUUUCAACAGCCCUUGAGUUCAACCAGAAGGCUUAACUUUCUAAAGAUUUCAUGGUAAGCUUUUCCAAGGAUACAGAUCCAUUACCUAGAUUGUUAAAUCUGGCCAUCUUAAACUAGAAGAUAGGUCAGUAAAUAAAAUGUUCCAAUCACAUCUGCAAUGUUAUUUCCCACAGAAGUCUCCCGACCCACAGGAAGAACUUAAGAAUGUACUUGUAGUAUCUUGGGGGGACAGAGACAAGAGGGCCUGUCACCACUGUAAGCCAUGUGACUCCCUUGCGCUUCCCACCUCAAGCACACGAUUACGGGUCAACUGUGCCCUCACUCCCAGACACAUCAAAUUCAUAUAUUGAAAUCCUAACCCCCAGGACCUUGGAAUGUGACUUUAUUUGAAAAUAGGGUCAUGGGUGUUCUCUUGUGGCUCAGCAGGUUAAGGAUCCCAUGUUGUCACUGCCACCGCAGCUUGGAUUUGAUCCCUGCUUCAGGAACUUCCACAUGCUGCAGGACACCAGGAAAAAAAAAAAGAGAGAGAGAGAGAGACAAAAUAGAGCCGUUGCAGAUGUAAUUAGAUCUUUUAAACUGAGGUCACACUAGCAUAUGGUGAUCCUCUAAUCCUAUAUGGUGGUCUUAUAAAAAGGAACACCAUCGGAAGAGAAAGGGAGACAGGCAAAGAGGGAAGGAGAUGCGAAGUCACAAGGAGAAGGUGGCCAUCUACAAGCCAAAAAGCACCUGAGGCCACCAGAAGCUGGGAGAGAGGCCUGGAACUGCCCCCAGGAGGAACCAACCCUGCCAACACCUUGAUCCUAUACUUCUGGCCUCCAGAAUCCUGGGACAAUAAAUUUCUAUUAAGUCACCUAGUCUGUGACAUUUUGCUCCAGGAUCCCUAGGAAAUGAAUGUAGAGCCCUGGCCACUUUUGCCUAUGUGGACCCCUUCU
rnacentral:lncRNA from 1 species